rnacentral:rRNA from 1 species
UACGAAGGGGGCUAGCGUUGUUCGGAAUUACUGGGCGUAAAGGAGCGUGUAGGCGGCCCGGUAAGUCCGCUGUGAAAAGUCCAGGGCUCAACCCUGGAAUGCCGGUGGAAACUGUCGGGCUAGAGUCCGGAAGAGGCGAGUGGAAUUCCGUGGUGUAGCGGGUGAAAUGCGCAGAUAUCAGGAGGAACACCAAUGGCGAAGGCAGCUCGCUGGGACGGUACUGACGCUGAGACGCGAAAGCGUGGGGAGCGAACAGG